AGAGAGAGAGAGAGAGAGAGAGAGAGAGAGAGAGAGAGAGAGAGAGAGAGAGAAAAUACUGCAAUUGCUUAUGACCGUGCCAUCUGCCCCUCCACAUGCAACGGAGCUAACUACCCCUGGAAGACAGCCACCCCCGCCAAAAAGGCCUUAGGGGUGAGGUGGCGCACUCAACUGCCAGUCGAAUUCAUGUACUUUUGAAGAGCUCGAGUCUCCCCCCUGCGUGCGGCUGGAGCUGAGAACAGGGGAGCGAGCGAUAGAAGAGACGAGGCAGCAAGCGCAGAGUGAAGGAGAGAAAAGCUCGACUGAUGAUGAAAUAGGAGUAUCAGGAGCUCUAAAAAGAAAGAAAGAAAGAAAGAAAAAGGAAAAACGGUCAAAUCUCUGCAUGUCUCCUGUUCUGGACGUAUUUUGAUGCCUUAUGUCUUUAAUGCCAGAUGAAAAGUAUAGCAGGGGAUUGCAUGCCUAGCAGAGAAAAAGGUGGGGGAAACUACUCUUUUGCUUCUUUUACUGUGUGUAACUUUCUGUUGGUUUGUGGAUGUCAUUG
rnacentral:lncRNA from 1 species